GUCAAGUCCUCAUGGCCCUUAUGUCCAGGGCUACACACGUGCUACAAUGGGCGGUACAGACCGUUGCGAAGUCGUGAGACGGAGCUAAUCGGACAAAGCCGUCCUCAGUUCGGAUUGCAGUCUGCAACUCGACUGCAUGAAGUUGGAAUCGCUAGUAAUCGUGUAUCAGCCAUGGCGCGGUGAAUACGUUCCCGGGCCUU
rnacentral:rRNA from 1 species